ACAGAUUUGAAUCCGUACAUUUCUCAUCAGUCGUAAAGAGCUUGUAAUACUAGGGACAUGUGACUAUGUGGCUCGAAGCAACACGGGCUCUCGCAAACAUUGACGUCCGACACAUAUGAGAAUCCUAAGGUUGUAAUUGCUUCUAGGGCAGUCCCGGUACUUGUGAAGCCACUGGCCUCACCAAGUGAUGAUGUUCAAAGAGCAGGCUACGUGGGCAUUGAGAAAUAUUGCUGGUGAUUCGCCUAAGUACCAUGAUCUAGUACUAGAUCACUGGGCCUUCAUUUUUUUGCUUGCCUAGUUGAAUAAGCAUGCGGUGCAUUCGAUGUUCAGGACACCCACAUGGACUCUCUCAAACUUCAAUAGAGGAAAGACACGGCCUCCAUUUGAACGGGUUGCUGUUAUGACAUUCUAUUUCAAGUGCGAGCAUCUUCCUCAUUAUAUUUUCUCUGCACUACUAAAUGCUAUUACUUAUGCGCCGAUGAGGCCGACACUCCCAGCGCACUGGAAGUCUUCUGCAUUCAAAUGAUGAGGAAGUAGCAACAGAUGCCUGUUUGGUGCUUUCAUAUCUUUCUGAUGGUGCAAAUGAUAACAUCCAAGCCGCUAUUGUUGAGGGUGUACCUCGAUACGUUUUGCUCCUUGCAUGCCCCGAUGCUAAAGAUCUGCAGAUUUCUGGCAUUUUAUCAUUCUCUCGUGCUAAUUUAUGUGUUUCUCAUCCAGCCAUCCUUUUUCUUCUGUUCUCAUUCCUGCGCUUCACAGGGUAGUAAAUAUUGUUACUGGAGAAAGGAGAUGAUGUCCAGACCCAGGUGUAAUCAAUAAUGGUGCAUCGACAAGCCUGUUGACGCAUAUGAUGAGGAGAUCAUCAAGAUAGAAGCAUGUUGGACCAUCUCAAAUAUCACUGCUUGGAAAUAGGGACCAGAUACAGGCUGUGAUAGAAGCCGGUCUGAUUGGACCUCUUGUUAAUCUACUCCAAAAUGCGGAGAUAGAUAUCAAGAAGAAGGAUGCAUAUGGGCAAUACUGAAUGCUACCCGUGGAGGCAGUCACGAUCAAAUAAAGUUUCUGGUGAGGUGAGGAUGUAAAACCGCUCUGCGACCUCCUCAUAUGCCCUGAUCGGAGGAUUGUGACCGUCUGCAUAGAGGGUCUGGAAAACAUCAUAAAUAGUGGGGAGGCAGAGAAGGCCAUGGGAAGUACCGGAGAUGUCAAUAUUUAUGCCCAGAUGAUUGAUGACGCAGGGGGCCUAGAGAAGAUCGAGAAUCUGCAGAGUCAUGACAGCAACGAGAUCUAUGAAAAGGCGGUGAAGAUUCUCUUAGACUUAUUGUGGUUGGAGAAAGAGGAUGAGACUUUGCGUAUCCUCUUCAAAGGACAUCGAUACCGUUGAACCAGCUGGUCCAAUGUACUUCUAGUGAGAUACCUUAAGACAGAUCUAGAGUUCAGCAUUGGCUUCAAACUAAAGAAUUAGGAAAGGCAAUGGUUCCCUUCAACAAGCAAUGACUGAUAAGGUUGCUGCAUAUGAAACUGCAGGAUUACGAGUAACUGCUGGGGUAAACUCUCGCACUGUGGACAUUGGGAUUGUUUAGGGGAGGGUCAAAGUCAGGUCUGGGUCAUGGUCAGGUCCUGCACGUCCUUCUGUUAUUGCUUUGGUCCUGCCAUUGCUGUAGUUGCUGCUGAUUAUUCUUUAGCCUCGGUUUUCCAGGGGCAAAGACCAUAUUUAUCAGCAUUCUAGAGCGGCUUUAUCUUUCUGAUAUUUUUCCAAUUGGAAGUUGUUACAUUUCUAUUCAGUUCUUUCCUUUUCCAAGGGCGUGAAAUGCUCGAACAGCCUUAGAAUGAAUGCAAAAAUGAAUUCACAGAGAUUUUUGUUAA